rnacentral:rRNA from 1 species
ACUCAAAGGAAUUGACGGGGAGUCGCACAAGCAGUGGAGCAUGUGGUUUAAUUCGAUGGUAAGCGAAAAACCUUACCGAGGCUUGACAUCCUGCGAAGACCGCCGAAAGGUGGUUGUGCCUUCGGGAACGCAGUGACAGGUGCUGCAUGGCCGUCGUCAGCUCGUGUCGUGAGAUGUUGGGUUAAGUCCCGCAACGAGCGCAACCCUUGUCGUGUGUUACAUUUUCACACGAGACUGCCUGGGCAACCGGGAGGAAGGUGAGGAUGACGCCUGGUCAGCAUGGCCCUUACGCCUCGGGCUACACACGUGCUACAAUGGCCAUCACAGAGGGUUUGCCAAGCCGUAAGGUGGAGCUAAUCCCAUCAAAAGUGGUCUCAGUUCGGAUUGAGGGCUGAAACUCGCCCUCAUGAAGCCGGAAUUGCUAGUAAUGGCGCAUCAGCAUUGGCGCCGUGAAUACGUUCCCGACUCUUGUACACACCGCCCGU